rnacentral:rRNA from 1 species
GCUUUACUGUAGCCUGGAAUUGUGUUCGGGCUUCGCUUGCGCAGGAUAGGUGGGAAGCGAGCUUUACUGUAGCCUGGAAUUGUGUUCGGGCUUGGCUUGCGCAGGAUAGGUGGGAAGCGAUGAACUUCUCCUUGUGGGGGGAAGGGAGCUAAUGGUGAGAUACCACUCUGGCGAAGCUAGGGCGGUCGCCUCCUAAAAGGUAACGGAGGCGCGCAAAGGUUCUCUCAGCACGCUUGGAAACCGUGCGGCGAGUGUAAAGGCAAUAAGAGAGCUUGACUGCAAGACCGACAAGUCGAGCAGGUACGAAAGUAGGCCUUAGUGAUCCGACGGCGCAGCAUGGAAU